rnacentral:rRNA from 1 species
UACGGAGGAUCCGAGCGUUAUCCGGAUUUAUUGGGUUUAAAGGGUGCGCAGGCGGGGGAUUAAGUCGGCGGUGAAAUUUUGCAGCUCAACUGUAAAAGUGCCUUCGAAACUGGUUUCCUUGAGUGUAGAUGAAGUAGGCGGAAUUUGUGGUGUAGCGGUGAAAUGCAUAGAUAUCACGAGGAACUCCGAUUGCGCAGGCAGCUUACUAAACUACUACUGACGCCCAGGCACGAAGGCGUGGGGAUCAAACAGGAUUAGAUACCCUGGUAGUCCCU